UACGUAGGGUGCGAGCGUUGUCCGGAAUUAUUGGGCGUAAAGAGCUCGUAGGCGGCUUGUCACGUCGGUUGUGAAAGCCCGGGGCUUAACCCCGGGUCUGCAGUCGAUACGGGCAGGCUAGAGUUCGGUAGGGGAGAUCGGAAUUCCUGGUGUAGCGGUGAAAUGCGCAGAUAUCAGGAGGAACACCGGUGGCGAAGGCGGAUCUCUGGGCCGAUACUGACGCUGAGGAGCGAAAGCGUGGGGAGCAAACAGG
rnacentral:rRNA from 1 species